GGGGGAGGGUGCUACCAUGCAGUCGACGAUGAUCCUCAGCUUGCUGGGGGGAUUAGUGGCGAACGGGUGAGUAACACGUGAGUAACCUGCCCUUGACUCUGGGAUAAGCCUGGGAAACUGGGUCUAAUACCGGAUACGACCAUCUGGCGCAUGUCAUGGUGGUGGAAAGCUUUUGUGGUUUUGGAUGGACUCGCGGCCUAUCAGCUUGUUGGUGGGGUAAUGGCCUACCAAGGCGACGACGGGUAGCCGGCCUGAGAGGGUGACCGGCCACACUGGGACUGAGACACGGCCCAGACUCCUACGGGAGGCAGCAGUGGGGAAUAUUGCACAAUGGGCGCAAGCCUGAUGCAGCGACGCCGCGUGAGGGAUGACGGCCUUCGGGUUGUAAACCUCUUUCAGUAGGGAAGAAGCGUAAGUGACGGUACCUGCAGAAGAAGCGCCGGCUAACUACGUGCCAGCAGCCGCGGUAAUACGUAGGGCGCAAGCGUUAUCCGGAAUUAUUGGGCGUAAAGAGCUCGUAGGCGGUUUGUCGCGUCUGCUGUGAAAGACCGGGGCUCAACUCCGGUUCUGCAGUGGGUACGGGCAGACUAGAGUGCAGUAGGGGAGACUGGAAUUCCUGGUGUAGCGGUGAAAUGCGCAGAUAUCAGGAGGAACACCGAUGGCGAAGGCAGGUCUCUGGGCUGUAACUGACGCUGAGGAGCGAAAGCAUGGGGAGCGAACAGGAUUAGAUACCCUGGUAGUCCAUGCCGUAAACGUUGGGCACUAGGUGUGGGGGACAUUCCACGUUUUCCGCGCCGUAGCUAACGCAUUAAGUGCCCCGCCUGGGGAGUACGGCCGCAAGGCUAAAACUCAAAGGAAUUGACGGGGGCCCGCACAAGCGGCGGAGCAUGCGGAUUAAUUCGAUGCAACGCGAAGAACCUUACCAAGGCUUGACAUGAACCGGAAAGACCUGGAAACAGGUGCCCCGCUUGCGGUCGGGUUUACAGGUGGUGCAUGGUUGUCGUCAGCUCGUGUCGUGAGAUGUUGGGUUAAGUCCCGCAACGAGCGCAACCCUCGUUCUAUGUUGCCAGCGCGUUAUGGCGGGACUCAUAGAGACUGCGGGGUCACUCGNAGGAAGUGGGGACGACGUCAAUCAUCAUG
rnacentral:rRNA from 1 species